rnacentral:rRNA from 1 species
CACGUAGGGGGCAAGCGUUGUCCGGAUUUAUUGGGCGUAAAGAGCUCGUAGGUGGUUCGGUAAGUCAGGUGUGAAACCUCCAGGCUCAACCUGGAGACGCCACUUGACACUGCUGUGACUGGAGUCCGGUAGGGGAGCGUGGAAUUCCUGGUGUAGCGGUGAAAUGCGCAGAUAUCAGGAGGAACACCAGCGGCGAAGGCGGCGCUCUGGGCCGGUACUGACACUGAGGAGCGAAAGCGUGGGUAGCAAACAGG